GGACUACUAGGGUUUCUAAUCCUGUUUGAUCCCCACGCUGUCGCGCAUGAGUGUCAGCAACGGGCCAGUGAGCCGCCUUCGCCACCGGUGUUCUUCCCAAUAUCUACGAAUUUCACCUCUACACUGGGAAUUCCACUCACCUCUCCCGUACUCAAGCUCAUCAGUUUCAAAGGCAAUUCCGGAGUUGAGCUCCGGGCUUUCACCCCUGACUUGAUGAGCCACCUGCGCGCGCUUUACGCCCAGUAAUUCCGAACAACGCUAGCCCCCUUCGUAUUACCGCGGCUGCUGGCAC
rnacentral:rRNA from 1 species